rnacentral:rRNA from 1 species
GUGGGUAGUUUUUUGCUUGUACAGGGCUACGGUGCAGUCGAGCGGUUGCAUUAAGAGCUUGCUCUUUGUGAUUAGCGGCGGACGGGUGAGUAACGUGUGGGUAACCGGCCGAUGGGAGGGGGAUACCUCCGGGAAAGGGGGGCUAAAACCCGAAAAGUUUUUGAACCGCAGGGGGGGAAAUUGAAGGGCCGCUUCGGCUGACAUGUACGGAUGGACCCGCGUCGCAUGUGGGGGUUGGGCUCGUAACGGCUCACAAACGUAACUAUGCUUAGACGACCUGAGAGGGUGAUCGAACACACUGGGACUGAGACACGGCCCAGACUCCUACGGGAGGGAAUAUUGCGGAAUCUUCCGCAAUGGACGAAAGUCUGACCGAGCGUCUCCACGUGAGUGAUGAAUGCUUUCGGGUUUCAAACUCUGUUGUUAGGGAAGAACAAAUGCUAGUUGAAUAAGCUGGCACCUUGACGGUACCUAACCAGAAAGCCCCUGCUAACUACGUGCCAAAUACCGAGGGUAAUACGUAUGUGGCAAAAUUUAUGGGGGAAUUAUUGGGCGUAAAGCGCCUGUCAGGUGGUUUCUUAAAAUCUGAUGUGCUCACCCCACGGAUCAGCCGUGGAGGGUCAUUGGAAACUGUCUAGACUUGAGUGGUAAAAAAUCAAAGUGGAAUUCCAUGUGUGCGCGGUGAAAUGCGUAGAAUAUAUGGAGGAACACGCGUGGCCAUGGAGACUUUCUGGUCUGUAACUGACACUGAGUGCGCGAAAGCGUGGAUAGCAUACAGGAUUAGAUACCCUGGUAGUCCACGCCGUAUACGAUGAGUGCUCCGUGUUAGAGUGGUUUCCGCCCUUUAACGCUUAAAUCACGCACUUAGGCGAUCCCCGUGGCGAGUUAGAUAGGG